rnacentral:snRNA from 1 species
AUGACACUUUGACAGCACAUAUACUAAAAUUGGAAUGAUACAGAAAAUUAACCUAGUCUUUGUACAAGGAUAACAUGAAAAUGUAUGAAGUACUCCAUAUUUUU